GAAAGGAAAGCCACUGUGCUUAUAGAUAAGAUAAGAAGCACUACUUUUUGUUUCCAAAAAGGAAGAAAUUUUGAUUGUGUUCCCUUGCACAUUUUUAGAACUACAAAGACCAUAAAACUACCAAAGCUAAAGAAGGAAAGACUCCAGGAUAUCUUUAUUCAUGUUAGCAAGAACAUACACUUUUGUAAGGUUCCAACAUACUAGGAAAUAUCCAUCACAGGAAAUAUCCAUCACAGAUAUAAGGAAACCUAUUCACUUCGAAACUACAAGGAGCCCUCAAGUCAGUUACUAGGUAAGAAGUAGGUCAAAAUUUAAAAUGGUCAAUUAUUAAUUGUAUUACAAUAUUCCAUACUAUAGCAUUCAAGCACAACAGGGUUCAGAGCUCCAAUGUAAAAGUCCUGAUGACUUCAAUGGAAAGCAUUAUCAAAUUAGUAUAGAACGAUCAUGACAUAAGAGGACACAUUCUGUUCUUAAUAUUAGGAAGUUGAUUCAUGUACUGGUUUGAUAUAUUGAAUUUUCAAAAUAGACGUACUGCAUUUCCCUCUUAAAAGUAUCAAGAUAGCAAUUUUUUCACAUGCCUUUUAGAUAUUUUGAAUUGUUUAUUAUUGUGAAUCAUAGUAUUCUUUACGGAGUUUCUAAAUAUGUAAAUUUUGUUUCAGAAAAACUCAAGAUUCUAUAUCCAAAAUUUAAGGUUAUAAUUAAAAAGUUUAACUCUCAAAAUCUGAAUGGUGCCACAUAAAUUGUGACAGAGGGAGUAACAAAGAUGGACAAAACUGGAUUUAGGCCAUAAGGGAUAUUUAACCACCUUUUUCCUCAAAAGAAAAUAAUGAAGAUAAGUUUCAUUAUUCAAGAAGAUUUGGCCACAUCUACACAGCUCUAUUUUGUCAGCAUUUCAGUACCCACUUAUUCAAAACCUAAAAUGAACCAAAUGUUAUUUUAAUAAUACAAGGAAAUAAAGUGCACAUCCUUUCUAUGUACUAACAGUUAAAGGAGUUCUCAGCUAUUCAGUAUGCAUUUUAUGUACAAACAGUUAAGGAGUUCUCAGCUAUCCAAUCAAUCAUUUGAUUCUUUGCUAUCAGAAUUCUGCACAUUUUCCUAAACAGAACAAAUCUGAUUGACAGAGCUUGUAUUUGUUUACACUAAAAAUGGUAUAGAUAAUCAAAAUCAAAUGUUAGCAGCCACUGAUCUCAUUUUAGAUGGUGAAAACAAACACGUUUUGAAAUUAUAUUAUUAUCGAAUACGGGAUUACAUUACAAAUCUAAUACGUUGGGUUAGAACUUGUUUGCAGGAUAUUCCACCAUGCCCAACAAAGAGAAGCAGAACAAAUUUAAUAUCAAAUGAGAAAUUUUCUUGAAACUUACUGUUGCUCUAGUUAUGCCGGGAAAGCAAUAAUCAGCAUGAGGGACUAUGUAGAUAACUGCUGCAGCAAUAGAAAUGAGACUUCUCCUGCAAGUUUUAUAUAGAGGAGUAAAUAGAUUUGAUCCAUCCUGUUGGAAAGAGCUAUGUGACAAAAACAAC
rnacentral:lncRNA from 1 species